AUUGAACGCUGGCGGCAUGCUUUACACAUGCAAGUCGAACGGUAACAGGCCGCAAGGUGCUGACGAGUGGCGAACAGGUGAGUAAUGCAUCGGAACGUGCCCAGUCGUGGGGGAUAACGCAGCGAAAGCUGUGCUAAUACCGCAUACGAUCUAUGGAUGAAAGCGGGGGACCGUAAGGCCUCGCGCGAUUGGAGCGGCCGAUGUCAGAUUAGGUAGUUGGUGGGGUAAAGGCUCACCAAGCCAACGAUCUGUAGCUGGUCUGAGAGGACGACCAGCCACACUGGGACUGAGACACGGCCCAGGCUCCUACGGGAGGCAGCAGUGGGGAAUUUUGGACAAGGGGCGCAAGCCUGAUCCAGCAAUGCCGCGUGCAGGAAGAAGGCCUUCGGGUUGUAAACUGCUUUUGUACGGAACGAAACGGCGAGCUCUAAUACAGUUUGCUAAUGACGGUACCGUAAGAAUAAGCACCGGCUAACUACGUGCCAGCCGCCGCCGUAA
rnacentral:rRNA from 1 species